GGAGAAGUACCCAAGAGGCUGAAGGGUCUGGCUUCGAACACCAGUAGGUCGGAAACGGCGCAAGGGUUCAAAUCCCUUCUUCUCCGCUA
rnacentral:tRNA from 26 species